GGCUUCAUGGCUUCGUAGGUUUAAGUGUCUGUCUCGGAAACAGGAGAUCCUGGGUUCGAAUCCCAGCGAGGCCU